rnacentral:ncRNA from 1 species
NNNAAAAAGAAACGAAAAACGAAUUCUCCAAGUAGCGGCGAGCGAAACGAGAAAAGUCCAUACCCCGAAGUCGGCGAGCAGUUGUGUUCGUCAACAGUGUGGUGUUAAAGGUGUCGUUGCAUGUGCUGAAAUCAGUUCGUAGGCUCCCUUGAUUGGGGCUUCAGAGCGGGUGCAGGACCCAUAACGAACGAUGUUUUGUGCAUGGUGUCGCGGCUCCUAAUCGAGUCGGGUUGCUUGAGACUGCAGCCCAAAGCGGGUGGUAAAUCUCACCCAAGACUAAAUAUUCGUACGAGACCGAUAGCGAACAAGUACCGCGAGGGAAAGUUGAAAAGAACUCUGAAGAGAGAGUUCAACAGGACGUGAAACCGUUGACAGGCAAACGGAUGGAGCUGACGGUGCAAUUUUGACCAAAAUCAGUCGUCGCUGGGUUCGUUGGCGAAUGAAUCUUUUGCAAACUUGUUUGUGUAGAUUAUCUUUCGAUUCGAAUCUACGCACGGUGCACUUUUGGUCGAUCAGCGUCACGAGCAACGUUCGCAAAUGUUUUGCUGCCGACAGUAAUGCUGUUUGUUGUUUUUAAAAGCAACGAACAAUAAACGCGGCUUGUGGAAGAGGUAAUUGUGAUGAAAAGUUUUGCUUUUGUCUCAAUUGCCGUGCCAUUGUUGUUUUCCCGGAGGAGGUUACGCUGCACCUCCAAAAAAUGAAGAUUCACACGUCAGCGGGCCCUGACGGAAUAAAGGUGUUGCAUCUUCGCUCGUGUGACCCAGUGUGUCUAGCGAAUGCCUUUAACCUCUUUCUUCUGGCUAGACACAUCCUCAGCAACUCAAGGAUUGUCGGACGACCCUCAUUCCCAAAACCGACGAUCCCCGCCCCUUGCUGAAGACUACCGGCCGAUAACAGUCGCUUCCUGUUUAUACCGGCUCUUCCGCAAAAUUGUAAGGAGGCGGUUAGAAGACUCCCUUUCCCUCCAUCCACGUCGAAAGGCUUUCCGGUCAGGCACGGACGGCGCUUUUGACAACACAUCCACACUGAUGACUGUCAUUAGGGAGGCACACAACUGCGGUAAGGAGCUGAACAUCGUCAGCAUAGACCUCGCCAAAGCCUUCGACACCGUCAACCACACUUCCAUCACCAGGGCACUCCGCAUGCAUGGUCUGGAUGACGAAUCGCGCACAUUAAUCACAGAAAUGGUAACUGGGAGCAGUACCAUUAUAAAGGGAGAUGGAGGGGCACUUAGCAAUUGGAUCGAGAUUAAUCAGGGAGUCCGCCAGGGAGACCCCAUUUCCCCCCUGCUCUUCAACGCCGUCAUGGACGAGUUGGUAGAGCGAACUGGAGAGGGUUUUAAAUUAAAGGGAGUCGAGGUUACAACACUGGCGUUUGCGGACGACGUAACACUUAUAAAUCAAAGCCACAGGGGAAUGGAGAAGUUACUCUCCACCACCCUGGACUUCCUUAACGAGAGGGGCCUAAAACUGAACAUCAAUAAAUGCAAAGGUAUCCGCCUUGUCCGCAUGCCUAAAACCAAAUCAUUAGUAGAAGAUACCUCCAAACCGUUCAGGGUCCCCAGCUUCGGAGAGGAAAACCAACACAUCCCCAUGGUGCCCCCGGGAGAUUUAAUUAAAUUCCUUGGCAUAGACAUCACCCUCAAUGGCAAGCCCCAUUUCGACUUAGCCCCCCUGGAAGAUACCCUUGAGAGAAUUCGUAAGGCUCCCCUAGAAACUUGCCACUGUGCGGGACUACCUGAUUCCAUCUUUGGAAUACAGAUUGGGAGUCCCCGGGAUUUCUAGGAAACUCUUGGAGAGUGUUGAUGGGGCAAUCAGGUUAACGGUAAAACGUUUCUUGCACCUUCCGCUCACAGGCAUGAAUAGCAUGUUUUUGUCCAUGCCCGUCAAGGAGGGAGGACUUGGAUUGCGUUCUCUCACCACGCAACACAUUGCACGACUGGCCGUAGGCACUAACAGCAUGUCCAUCAGCACAGACUCCGUCUCUAGGGCUGUGGCUAACACCACAACCCUGCGAAAGCCCUUGCUCUCGGCCCUGGAGCACUUUGCAGCCCCCACAGCUACCAAAAGUGCUAUCCGUGAAGGAAAGCGUAACCUCCUUCGGGCGGAGAUCGCUCAGCUCUCGGAAACGUACCAAGGCAGCUGUCUUCCAUCCUUUAAACAUGGGUCUCUGGUUAACUCCUGGCUGCGUGGCACUAGUGGCAUGCGUAGUCGGGAUUACAUCACCGGGUUGAAACUGCGGUUCGGAGUUAUCGAGACGCGCAGUCAGAAGUGGAGGGGCCGAACGCCACAGAACCCGGACGCGCUGCUGUGUAGGCACUGUGGUCACUCCUCCGGUAACCGGGAGACAGCCGCACACGUCUCACAGAAGUGUCUCGUGACACACGCGCUGAUCGUCCAGAGACAUAACAAGAUCGUGCGUCUUGUUGGGGAUCGUGCGAAGGAUGAAGGCUUCGCAGUGCAUGUUGAGACGGCCAUUAAGUCAGGGGAAGAGGUUAACAAACCCGACUUACUACUCAUUAAAGACGA